AGAGUUUGAUCCUGGCUCAGAACGAACGCUGGCGGCGUGCCUAACACAUGCAAGUCGAGCGAGAAAGCCCGCAAGGGUGAGUAAAGCGGCGCACGGGUGCGUAACACGUGAGUAAUCUGCCCUGAAGUCCGGAAUAACUCGCCGAAAGGCGUGCUAAUGCCGGAUGAGACCACGGGAGCCUCGGCUCCUGCGGGAAAAGGUGGCCUCUGUACACAAGCUAUCGCUUCAGGAUGAGCUCGCGGCCCAUCAGCUCGUUGGCGGGGUAAUGGCCCACCAAGGCUACGACGGGUAGCUGGUCUGAGAGGACGAUCAGCCACACUGGAACUGAGACACGGUCCAGACUCCUACGGGAGGCAGCAGUGGGGAAUCUUGCGCAAUGGGCGAAAGCCUGACGCAGCAACGCCGCGUGUGUGAUGAAGGUCUUCGGAUCGUAAAGCACUGUCGCGAGGGACGAAUAAGGGGCGGGCUAACAUCCCGUUCCGAUGACGGUACCUCGAGAGGAAGCACCGGCUAACUCUGUGCCAGCAGCCGCGGUAAUACAGAGGGUGCAAGCGUUGUUCGGAAUUAUUGGGCGUAAAGCGCGUGUAGGCGGCUUUGUAAGUUGGGUGUGAAAGCCCUCGGCUUAACCGAGGAAGUGCGCCCAAAACUGCAUGGCUUGAGUACCGGAGAGGGUGGCGGAAUUCCCGGUGUAGAGGUGAAAUUCGUAGAUAUCGGGAGGAACACCAGCGGCGAAGGCGGCCACCUGGACGGAUACUGACGCUGAGACGCGAAAGCGUGGGGAGCAAACAGGAUUAGAUACCCUGGUAGUCCACGCCGUAAACGAUGAGCGCUAGGUGUUGUGGGUGUUGACCCCCGCAGUGCCGCAGCUAACGCAUUAAGCGCUCCGCCUGGGAAGUACGGCCGCAAGGCUAAAACUCAAAGGAAUUGACGG
rnacentral:rRNA from 1 species